rnacentral:lncRNA from 3 species
CGGAGCGAGGAGGACGGUGGCGGCGCGGAUCUGGAGCGGCGGCGGCGCGAGAGGAGAACGGCGGCGGGCGGAUUCUGGAGUGGAGCUGCGCGCGCGUCCUCGUGCUCAUGCUCGUGCUCGUCGUCCUUGGAGCAGUCAUCGGAGCGGUCAUGGCGGGCGGCGGCGGCACAUCCUCGCCCCGCUCUCCUCACCGACGGCGCUCUCCUCACCGCCUGCCCCAACGCCAAGCGGCGGCGGCAUCCUCGGGACCUGGCGGCGCGGAUCUGGAGCAUCCUCGCCGUCCUCCUCAACGACGGCGGCGGUGGUGGCGCGUCCUCGCCCGCCCUCACCGGUGACGGUGGCGCGGAUUGGAGCUGGAGCCGGAGUCGUCGGAGUAGAAGGAGUUCCUGCUCGGGAAUCAAGGUCGGCCUCCUGCACGGCGCGCCGUGGGACGCGCGCCACGCGGAGCGUAAAGGUGGGUGUGCCUUGCUUCCGUGCAGCGAGCGCCGUCCGCCGCCGAGGCGUCGGCUGCGCGGUUGCGUGGCGCCGUCGCGCCUCGCGUUCUGGAAGACGUGA